rnacentral:rRNA from 1 species
GAUGAACGCUGGCGGCGUGCCUAAUACAUGCAAGUCGAGCGAAGCGGGGACGGUUGAGUAACACAUAGAUAACCUCCUAUAAGACUGGACUAACUUCGGGAAACCAGAGCUAAACAGGAUAGUACGAGAUGGCUCAUCGCUGCAUUAGCUAGUUGGUAAGGGAACGGCUUACCAAGGCAAGGAGGCAUAGCCGACCUACAAGGGUGAUCGGCCACACUGGCACUGAGACACGGUCCAGAAUACUACGGGAGGAAGCAGUAGGGAAUCUUCCGCAAUGGGCGAAAGCCUGACGGAGCAACGCCGCGUGAGUGAUGAAGGUCUUCGGAUCGUAAAACUCUGUUAUUAGGGAAGCGGUACCUAAUCAGAAAGCCACGGCUAACUACGUGCCAGCAGCCGCGGUAAUAC